rnacentral:rRNA from 1 species
GAUGAACGCUGGCGGUAUGCCUAAUACAUGCAAGUCGUGCGGAAAGGCCUCUUCGGAGGUACUCGAGCGGCGGACGGCAGAGUAACGCGUAGGAACAUACCCCCAAACUGAGGGAUAACUGCUCGAAAGAGUAGCUAAUACCGCAUGUGGUCUUCGGACUAAAGCUUCGGCGGUUUGGGAAUGGCCUGCGUUCGAUUAGCUAGUUGGUGAGGUAAUUGCUCACCAAGGCGACGAUCGAUAGCUGGUCUGAGAGGAUGAUCAGCCUGACUGGAACUGAGACACGGUCCAGACUCCUACGGGAGGCAGCAGUAGGGAAUUUUCCACAAUGGGCGAAAGCCUGAUGGAGCAAUACCGCGUGCAGGAUGAAGGCCUUCGGGUCGUAAACUGCUUUAUGUGAGAAGAAUUUGACGGUAACACAUGAAUAAGGGUCGGCUAACUACGUGCCAGCAGCCGCGGUAA